UGGAUCGAGAAAGUGGAAAAAUCAUUUAAUAAUAAAAAAUAAUAGCUUAGUUACAACAUCGACGGCGAGACAAGUGUGUACAAAGGGUCCAAGCAAGGAAGUUCGUCUAUCCAGAAGGAGAAAUAGAGAUUGAAAAAUCGGAGGUGUAAAAAAUGCUUAGCAGAGAUUGAUACAAGGGAAGGCUUCAGGUCGUCCAAAAGGUGUUCGACAAUAUGUCACAAAGAAAUCUUUCUUUUUUCUUCUUUUCUGGUGUGGUCAAAUAAUUUUCUGAAGAACGGAGUGUGAUCAAUAUCGAUGGCCACAGCAUAUAUGAAGAAGAAUAUUGAAGAACAAAGGCUUAGAAGAUCAAGUUAGAACAAUAAAUACUUUGUUCCAGAAGAUGUUCGGUGGUGCAUCUGUUGAUCAGGCAAGCACAUGGGCUUCAAACUUUGCUGCAGCUUUGGCAAAUAUUUCGAACUAGCGGGUGUUGGUCAUAUAAGUGGAAGUCAUAAUGCUGAAGAGUGAAGACCUUGGUGCUCAUCAAUCUUAGUGGAACAUAGCGAAUGUGUUGGUUAUGAACGUUGAUCUUAAUUUCCUUUUUAAUACCUAGCUAGGAUUUCUAUGUUCAAGAUUCGACAGUGAAUUACGUUAUAUGAGUUAUGCGAUUUUAUUUUUAAUUUAUAUACUAUUUUUGGAUUUAAAUAAUCAAUUAAUUCUUUUAAUUUA